UGGCUCUUCACCAUGGGGGGGAGUUGUUGGGGGGAUCAUUGGGAUCAUGAUACUCAUCUGUUUUGCUGUUGCUGCUUGGUGGUUGAAGUCCAAACAUACAACUCAAGAACAGUCACAGCAGGGGGAGCAGAUCAGGAGAGAACA